UUGAGAAGGGGCUAUUUUGAUGACGGUUUGUUAUGGGUUAUGUUCUUCAGGUUUAUUUUGUUUAGGAAAUUUUAUAUAAGUUUUAUGAAAAAAAUUAAUAGUCGAAGAUUAUUUUUAUGUGGAGGGAUAAUUAAUUAUAAUCUUAUAAUGAGUUUAUUAAUAUUUUUAUUAUGUAUUUGUUAUAUGGGAGCUCCUCCAUUUAUUAAUUUGAUUAGUGAGAUUAUAUUAUACAUUUCUAUAUAUAUAUA